rnacentral:siRNA from 1 species
CUACAUAUAGUUCUUCAGACAAUG